CCAAGGACUUUCAUCAAACACUUGGUGACAGAUUUUCAAUCAAGACAAACAAGCAAUUAAUUCGGUUUGCAAUGAAAGUUGGCACUCAAAAGGAUCUUAGAAUAGCUCUAGAACAGAUUCACAAAGCAAUAAAAGACACACAUGCUGCAGUAUACAAUUUUCACAUAAAUUCUGCAAAAAUUGGCAAAGUGUUUGAUGGAAUGUCUCAAAGAAAACUGCAUAUAAUUGUUUCUGCUGUUACUGACUUUUAUCUACUGGAUUGCGGGAGUUUCAAGCUUCUUUUAGAUGUUAUUUUUCAAUCUCAAUGGUUAGGAAAACAUAGAGACUUUUCUCCCA
rnacentral:lncRNA from 1 species